UGUGUCGUUGGGUAGGGGAGCGUUCUGUAAGCCUGCGAAGGUGUGCUGUGAGGCAUGCUGGAGGUAUCAGAAGUGCGAAUGCUGACAUAAGUAACGAUAAUGCGGGUGAAAAACCCGCACGCCGGAAGACCAAGGGUUCCUGUCCAACGUUAAUCGGGGCAGGGUGAGUCGACCCCUAAGGCGAGGCCGAAAGGCGUAGUCGAUGGGAAACGGGCUAAUAUUCCCGUACCUGGUGUUACUGCGAAGGGGGGACGGAGAAGGCUAUGUUGGCCGGGCGACGGUUGUCCCGGUUUAAGCGUGCAGGUGUGUGUUCCAGGAAAAUCCGGUUCACUUUAACACUGAGGCGUGACGACGAGGCACUACGGUGCUGAAGCAACAAAUGCCCUGCUUCCAGGAAAAGCCUCUAAGCCUCAGGUAACAUCAGAUCGUACCCGAAACCGACACAGGUGGUCAGGUAGAGAAUACCAAGGCGCUUGAGAGAACCCGGGUGAAGGAACUAGGCAAAAUGGUGCCGUAACUUCGGGAGAAGGCACGCUGACACGUAGGUGAAGCGGUUUACCCGUGGAGCUGAAGUCAGUCGAAGAUACCAGCUGGCUGCAACUGUUUAUUAAAAACACAGCACUGUGCAAACACGAAAGUGGACGUAUACGGUGUGACGCCUGCCCGGUGCCGGAAGGUUAAUUGAUGGGGUCAGCGCAAGCGAAGCUCCUGAUCGAAGCCCCGGUAAACGGCGGCCGUAACUAUAACGGUCCUAAGGUAGCGAAAUUCCUUGUCGGGUAAGUUCCGACCUGCACGAAUGGCGUAAUGAUGGCCAGGCUGUCUCCACCCGGGACUCAGUGAAAUUGAACUCGCUGUGAAGAUGCAGUGUACCCGCGGCAAGACGGAAAGACCCCGUGAACCUUUACUAUAGCUUGACACUGAACACUGGUCCUUGAUGUGCAGGAUAGGUGGGAGGCUUUGAAGUGUGGACGCCAGUCUGCAUGGAGCCGUCCUUGAAAUACCACCCUUUAAUGGCUGGUGUUCUAACGUAGACCCGUGAACCGGGUUGCGGACAGUGUCUGGUGGGUAGUUUGACUGGGGCGGUCUCCUCCUAAAGCGUAACGGAGGAGCACGAAGGUUGGCUAAUCCUGGUCGGACAUCAGGAGGUUAGUGCAAUGGCAUAAGCCAGCUUGACUGCGAGCGUGACGGCGCGAGCAGGUGCGAAAGCAGGUCAUAGUGAUCCGGUGGUUCUGAAUGGAAGGGCCAUCGCUCAACGGAUAAAAGGUACUCCGGGGAUAACAGGCUGAUACCGCCCAAGAGUUCAUAUCGACGGCGGUGUUUGGCACCUCGAUGUCGGCUCAUCACAUCCUGGGGCUGAAGUAGGUCCCAAGGGUAUGGCUGUUCGCCAUUUAAAGUGGUACGCGAGCUGGGUUUAGAACGUCGUGAGACAGUUCGGUCCCUAUCUGCCGUGGGCGCUGGAGAACUGAGGGGGGCUGCUCCUAGUACGAGAGGACCGGAGUGGACGCAUCACUGGUGUUCGGGUUGUCAUGCCAAUGGCACUGCCCGGUAGCUAAAUGCGGAAGAGAUAAGUGCUGAAAGCAUCUAAGCACGAAACUUGCCCCG
rnacentral:rRNA from 1 species